rnacentral:rRNA from 1 species
UACGGAGGGUGCGAGCGUUGUCCGGAAUCAUUGGGCGUAAAGCGCACGUAGGCGGGUCGUUAAGUCAGGGGUGAAAUCCCAGAGCUCAACUCUGGAACUGCCUUUGAUACUGGCGACCUAGAGUCCGGAAGAGGUUAGUGGAAUUCCCAGUGUAGAGGUGAAAAUUCGUAGAUAUUGGGAAGAACACCAGUGGCGAAGGCGGCUAACUGGUCCGUACUGGACGCUGAGGGUGCGAAAGCGUGGGGAGCAAACAGG